GCCAGCCUGGCGUAGUGGUUUGAGUGGCAGACUGCAACUCUGGAGAUCAGGGUUCGAUUCUCUGCUCGAACA